rnacentral:rRNA from 1 species
AUCAGGUAGGGAUACCCGCUGAACUUAAGCAUAUCAUUAA